rnacentral:lncRNA from 1 species
UACCCACGAACUAUCUGAAAUAGGAUAGAUGAUUCCUGCAUCUAACAGUUUGAUCACUUCCUUUCUCACAACUUCUUUCAUGAUAGGAUUGAGCCUUCUUUGCCCAUCAAUUCAGGUCUUUCACAUUCUUUUAAAAUGAUUUUAUGCAUGCAAAAAGAAGGGCUUAUACCUCGAAUGUCAGCUAUGGUCCAACCAAUUGCUUUCUUCAACUUCUUUAAAAGAACAAUCAGUUAUUCCUCUUGAUCUUUCGUUAGUUCUGCUGAAAUAAUCACAGGCAAAGUAAAAUAGUCACCUAAAUAAAUAUAUUUCAAAUGGGAAGGAAGUACCUUUAGUUGAAGUGUAGGUUGUUCUUCGAUUGACAACUUGGGUUGCACAAAUUCUCUGACUUCUAACUCUAAUAGUUCAAACCGUGUGGAUUGAAUAAAAUUUCUCGGAUUGGCUUCCAUCAAAGCCAUGUUUUUUCACCUUCUUCAUCCUCCAAAGGGUCAAACUCUAAGGCUUUCUCCAAUGGAUCUUCCUCAAAAUUGCUUUCCAUAGAAACCAAGGUUUCUAUCUCUUCCAUAAUUGAACACCCCUCUAUCGGAUCGAGAAAUUUCAUCACUUUAAGAAUGUUUAAGGUUACCUGAUCAUUUUGAACUCGCAUGGUGAGUUCUCCUUUCUGCACAUCAAUUAAGUAUUUAGAGGAGUUGCUAGGACGACCCUUACGGUAGCUAAGUACUAGAUUUCAUCUAUUGAGAGGAUCUUGGAUAAUUUGUACUAUACCCUAGAACAUAAACUUAAGGGUACAGUGUCUCUUUUGAGAAAUGAGGCAUUUUGUUGGUGGAAAUCUAUCAUGGAAGGUACCAAGCCAAAGAAGAUAACUUUGGAUUAUUUCAAAACUGCCUUUCGUAAAAAAAUAUGGGAUCGAGGUAUGUUGAAGCCCGAAAACUUGAUUUUAUUAAAUUGAAGCAAAGGGACCAAACCGUAUCCGAGUAUGAGGCUGAGUUAUUAAGCCUGAACCGGUAUGCACAAGGGGUGGUAGCUUUAGAGUAGAACAACUGUGUUAGAUUUGAGAAUAGGCUGAGGUAUGACCUCAAGGUCCAAGUUGUCAUAUUGUAGGAGAGAGUCUUCGAGACUUUAGUAGAGAAGGUGAAGAUCCUUGAAGAGGUGAAAUAUGAUAAGCAAGAUAGAAGAGAUAAGACCAAGAAUCUAGUGAAGAGAGAUUUUGGUCUGGGAAAUUCUAAUCCAUGCCCAGUGAAGAGGGUCCGUGAAAAUAGACCAUGUCAGUACCCUGCUAUUGCAAGUAACAGAAAUUAGACCCGCAAUUAUGCUUACUGUGGGAAGUCUCACAAUAGGAAAUGUUGAAAGAGCAAGGGAGCAUGUUCUAGGUGUGGGGCGUGGUAAUAACAAAAUGAUAAUAGUGGGUAGAGGACAAAUGGUCAAUGUACGAACUGUACUAAUGUUAGACAGCCCACCUUGGUUUAUGCAGUAAGGCACCAAGAGGACGGUAAUACGGCUGAUGUUAACGCAGGUACUUUUAUAAUAAAUUUUGUACAAUACUUUGCUUUGAUAGAUAUAGGAUCAACUCAUUCUUAUGUUUCCUGCUCUAUGACUGAUAAAUUGGGAGUUCUAGUGGAAAUUAAUGUUAGCGGCAUAACUGUACUCAGUCCCCUAGGAUAAUUUAUGUAUGUGAAUAAAAUAUUUAGGAGAUGUCCUUUAGAAAUUUAGGGUGAGUUGUUUCCAGCUGACUUGAUGGAGCUGCCAUUCAGUGAAUUUGAUCUUAUUUUGGGCAUGGAUUGGUUGAAGGAGCAUCGAGUUAGCCUUGAUUGUGAUACAAAGUUGGUUACUCUGAGGACUUUAACCAGAAAGGAGAUAGUUAUGAUCUAUAAGCACCAAUAUUACUUGUCCAAUGUGAUCUCUACUUUGGUAGCCGAGAAAUUAGUUCAUAAAGGGUACGAUGCAUAUUUGGCGUACAUUCUGGAUAUGAAAGCUGAUGACUCAAUGUUAGAAAGCAUCUGUGUAGUAAAAGAGUUUCCUGACGUCUUUCUAAAAGACUUGCCCGAUCUACCUCCAAAACGCGAGGUUGAUUUUGGGAUUGAGUUGCUGCCUAGGAUAGCUCCGAUGUUUAUUGCUCCCUACUAAAUGGCACCUAAGAAUCUUAAAGCAUAGUUGCAAGAGUUUUUAGACCAUGGUUUUAUCUUGGGGAGCUCCAGUUCUACUCGUGAGGAAGAAGGAAAAUGGUAUGCAUUGAGUGUUAACUCGGUCUUCCUGGAAUUUUCACAACAUUCGUGUUGACAAAAUGUCUAACCUUUUGCCCCGGUAAAACUUCACUCCUUUAUUUCUCCUUCCUCAACCUACACCUGCCAAAGCACCAAACACAACCCUACCACAAGCAAUUAAAAGUACCUAAUAUUUCAACAAAGUCCAAGCUCCUAAUGGAAUGAUGAAGAUAUGAAUGAAAUGUCCUAAAAUGCAACUAAAUGUACCUUGGUGCAAGUAAUUAGCUAGGCCUUAAAGCAUGAAAUAUAAAUUUUUUCAAGAGUUAUCACACCCUCAAACCUGAGUUAUUACUUUUCCUCAAGCCAAAUACAUAUGAAUGCAUGAAUCCAUAAAUUUUUACCCUUCCAUAUAACUAUCUUAUACUAUUAAUCUAUUAAAAGAACAACAUAUACAUCAGUUCUCAGUAGUCUUCUUUCUCUAAAAGCUUGAUUGAAUGUCAAAGGUUCAUUUCAAAAAAGGUAGUGUAGAAAAUUUGUCCCUAAAAAUAAAAUUUCCUAAAUACUCAUGUAUGCUUUCUGGCCAUAACAAAUAUCUCCUAAUGCACUCAGUUCAUUUGUAACCUAAACUAUAACAGCCUAUUUUUAGUGAAAUCGAGACCACAAAUCCUACGUGAAAAUAUUUAUAUUAUUAUUUUAAUGUCUAUGGCAUGUUAAUAGUGUCAUUUGCAUGCUUAAUUUAGUGAGAAUGGCUAAAUUGUAAAAGGUGUAAAAGUAGAGUUCUAGUAGCUAAAGGUAUCAAAUAGCUAUAGAACUUUAAUGUGAGAGUAAUUAGGUGGUAAUUAGACCAUUUAUGUGGUAGUGGAAAUUUAUGGGUUUGGUUUUAUUAAAAUUAGGGAUAUUUUUAAAGGUUAAAAAUGUAAUUAAGUAAAAAAAGGUUAAUAUAAUAAAAACAAAAGAAAGAAAUAAGAUAUCUUCCUAUCUUCAUCCUUAGCUGAAAUAUUCAAGGGAAACCAUAGCUAGGUUUCAGUCAAGCUAUAUUCACCGGUAUGUAAGUGGUUUUUGUUUCGCUUUAAUGAUUUCUAUGUUUUUGAAGUUGUUGUAGCUUAAUCUAGCUAGCCCAGGGACUAAUUUGCAAAACUAUUAAAGGUUUAAGGUUUUACCAUGAAUUUUCUUACAUGAUUUAAGAAGUUUGAUGAAAUAUUAUGAGUCCUUGUGGUUAAAUAAACAAUUUUUGUAAAGUGAUUUUUGAUGAAUUUGUCAUUUAGGGACUUAUUUGUAAAAGUAGUAAAAUACCAUGAUAAAUUUGUGAAAUGUCGAUUUGUAUGAGGUUGUAUGAGCCCCUAGGCAAAUCAACUAGCAUGAUAUGUGGAUGAAAUUGCAUAAAUGAAAAUUUACGAGCUUAAGGACUAAAUUAUAAAGAAGUUAAAAUAUUAGGGGCAAAAAUGUACAUCUGCAAUAGUAUGAAUUUUGGACUAAAUUGAAUAGUAUGUGUAUUAAAAAUAUUGAAUUUUCUUAUUUAGAUAAAGAUAAACCUUGUACGGAUUUAGAUCGAGGAAAGGCUAAAGUCUCAGAUUAGUGAUCCUAUUUUGACGUCUUUGUAAUCAAGGUAAAUUUGUAUGUUUAAAUAACAUUAUAAUGUUAUUUUGAUAUUUAUGCAUUGUAAUAUAUAUCAUGUAAAGAAAUUAUGAGAAUCCAAUGACGUUACAAUGACUAUCGAGCUCCGUUUGAACCUUAGGAAUAUAUAGGAUACAAAUGAAAUGUCAUUAAGGUUACCAUGUUUCGGAUGUUGGUCUUGACUGUCCUACCAAUGGAUGAGCUCUGGAAUUUUUUGCUGAUAUUCGCCAACUUAUGUGAGUGGCAUUGUGUACCAACAUUCUGAUCGUCAACUUGUGUGAGUAGGCCCAUUUAUGGCUUGAGUGAGCAAUGAUGUAAAGGAAAAGGAAUGGUUUCAACCAUAUGUUUAGCAUAUUUUGUGUGAGCUUCCCGCGUAUCCAAUAUUAUUCUAAGUGGUUCAACGGGUAUGAAAUGGGAAGAAACAGUAAGGGUGAGUUUGGAUGGGCGGUGCGUUUACCUGCGGUUAGUGUAAAAACUGCAGUGGCGGUGAGAUUAGAUACUGUAGCGACACUGUAGCGUGAGACAAAAAGUAAGCUAAACGCACCACACCGCACCCAGUCGCCCAUCCAAACCCAUCAUAAGUGCUCCAUUGACUACGUUAUGAACUUAUGGAAAGGUAUGAAUUGAUAAUGAUCAGAGUAUACAUAGUUAUGUUUAUGGAAAGUAUGAAUUCAAAUGUACUAUGUUCAUGAAAUUUACCUUACCAUGUGAUGCUUUUGUUGAGUUAUGUGUUAAGGCACUAACUUAUGUUGUUGAUGAUGCUUGGGCUUGUGUCAAGCUUAUUUUGGAUUGAUUCAUGUUUAAAUUAUGAGGUUUUGCAUUGAAAUGGUAAGCUAUGUUCAUGAUUUACGAACUUACUAAGCAUUAUAUGCUUACGUAGUUUUCUUUUCUAUGUUUUAUAGAUUAUCGGAAGCUCGUUCGCUUUGGAAGUUCGUCAGAGACCUAUCAUACUAUCCGGCGAUUAUAUCAGUAGAUUUUGAUGUUUUGGUCAAGGUUAGAAUGGCAUGUAUAAAUGAACUUCUGCUUAAUGAUCUAGUUGUUUUGGAAUGUAUAAGUGUUAUUAUGGUUGAUGUACUUAUGGUUUUUUGAUGCCUUGAUGGUUGGUGUUAUUAUGGCCAAGAUGUUGCAUGUUUUGAAUGAUCAAUUUGGUAUGUGAUGGUGUAUUUUCAAUAUGGUCAAUUAAGGUAUGUUUUUAGUUGAAAUAAGUAAAAUGUGUAAGGUUGAUGAAUGGUCAAGCAUGCAUAUUUUUUUGUAGGUUUAAUGGAUUGUAAUUAAGGUGUCUUAUUGGCAUAUUGGUUGCAUGGAUUAUUGGUAUAGAGAUUUGGUCAUUUGAUGUAUGUUUUGGGCAUGUUUUAAGGUCUUGAUUAUUUAUGCAAUUGGCUUGUAGGUACAUGUCUAAAUGGGUGAAAGAAAUGGUUUGAUUUUAGCCAAUUCUUGUCCACACAGCCUAAAAUGCCGGCGUGUGUCUCAGUCUAUUGUGACACGGUCGUGUGUCCCUUGUAGGUAUUAAAGGUUUCAAGUCAGGCAGUUACACGGCCUCGCACACGUCCUGGUACAUAGGCGUGUGAGGCCAUUUCGAGUGUUACAUGGCCUGGCACACGGGCGUGUGGCUUGGUCGUGUGACCUAACUUAGAGAGUUACAUAAGCACGAACACAGGCUGGGACACGGCCGUGUGUCCCUAUUUUGAUUGUUACACAGCCUAAGACAUGGGCGUGUGUCUCAGCUAUGUGAGUCAUAUGGCAGUGUGAACCCUGUAGUUUUGAAUUUUCUAACAUUUUCCUGAUUUAGUCCUGAAUCAUUUCUAAAGUGUUUCUAAGGCCUCGAGGGUUCGAAUAAGGGAUGAUAUGAAUGUCUAUGAGUGGAUUAUGCUAUGAUUAUUGUAAUGUUUGGAAAUGAAUGUUUUUAGGUUAUGUUUAUACAGUAAUGCUCCGUAACCCUAUUCUGGUGAUGGAUACGGGUUAGGAGUGUUACAUUUAGUGAUAUCAGAGCUAUGGUUUAGUUGGUUCUCAGACUGAACGUAGCGAGUACGAGUCUAGAAAUACAUGUCAUUAUAUAACCUGUGAUUGUGUGGUAACUCCUAACUCAAUUUGAACUAUACUUUUAUAUAGAUAAUGUCAUCCAACCAAGUCGAUUCUGAUGAGGCUGAAAGUAUCGCGCAAGCCUCUGUUCAUGUAGCAGCGUUGAGUGGAAGUAGACUUGUAUUUAAGGUAUGGGGAGGAGAGGCUAAGGAAACCUUCUUUCAGAUGAUGAAUGAGUGGUUCACCGAUUUUCUACGAACGAACCCGAUGGCUCAACGACCUCAACCCCUACAUAUUCCCCAACCAAUCCCUAUAGUUCCUCAAGGUUUUGAACCAAUACGAUUGAGCAAGCCUCCAGUUGAUAAAAUCCGCAAAUAUGAGGCUGAAGAGUUUAGAGCUACGUCUAAAAAUGAUCCAGAUAGAAUCGAGUUAUAGUUAGAAAAUACAAUCAGGGUUUUCAACAAAUUAUCUUGUACGCCGGUAAAAUGUGUGAAAUUUUUUGUUUCCUUACUGAAAGACUCAACCUAUCAGUGGUGGAAUACCUUGGUUUCAGUUGUGUCAAGAGAAUGAGUAGACUAGGAAUUCUUUCAAACUGAGUUCUAUAGCAAAUAUGUGAGUCAGAGGUUUCUUGACAAGAAACACAAAGAGUUUCUCAAGCUUAAACAAGGCCAGAUGAUACUAUCUGAGUGAGAGACAGGAUUUGUUUGAUUGAGCAAGUAUGCCCGAGAAUGUAUACUGACUGAGAUUGCCAUGUGUAAACGGUUUGAAGAUUUGCUGAAUGAAGACAUGAAGCUGUUAGUCAGGAUUCUAGAAUUGAAAGAAUUUUUUAUUCUAGUUCACCGAGCACACAAAGCUGAAGAAUUGAGUAAAGCUAAAAGAAAAGUUGAUUUAUGAGGCUUGUGAUUCGAGUAAGAGAUCGGCGGGAAAAUCAUCUCAUUUAUCGUCAAAGAAGUCAAAAGAAUAUCAUAAUCGUUCGUUAGCUUCAGUGGGUCAUUCUGGUAGAGAUCGAAGAAAAUAGCAUGCGAAUUUAAAACCUCAGGCUACUCUAUAUCGAGCCUAGCACACGGACGUGUGAAGCCAUUUUGAGUGUUACACGGCCUGGCACACGAGCCACUGGCUUGGCCAUGUGACCAAACUCAGAGAAUUACACGAGCAUGGACAUGGGCUGGAACACGGCUGUGUGUCCCUAAUUCGAUUGUUAGAUGGCCUGAGACAUAGGCGUGUGUCUCAGCCGUAUGAGUCAUACAGCCGUGUGACCCUUGCAGUUUUGAAUUUUCUAACUUUUUCCACAAUGUUUCAAAUGUUCCUGAUUUAGUCCCGAAAUAUUUCUAAAGUGUUUCUAAGGCCUCGAGGGUUCAAAUAAGGGGCGAUAUAAAUGUCUGUAAGUGGAUUAUGCUAUGAUUAUUGUAAUGUUUGGAAAUGAAUGUUUUUAGGUUAUGUUUAUAUAUUAAUGCUCCAUAACCCUAUUCUGGCGACAGAUACAGCUUAGGAGUGUUACAUAAACUCAAGUUACUUUGCUACCCUUGCUCACAACCUUUUCAAGAUAUUUAUUUGUACUCGUUUUUUCUCUUCUUUAUUAUUAUUAUUUUCUUUUUCUUUUCUUUUUUCUUUUAGCAUGUCACAAAAUUCUUUGACUUGAUAUUCACAAUGGAGCAUACACUAAAUUACCUAGCUCUCAAUCAUGUCAUAAUUUAAAUAUAAAUCACUUGUGAAGCUAAGGUUUUUGACUAAAAAGAUGGAUGAAGUAAACAACUACCUUCUUAGCUACUCAGUCUGUUGCUAUAGUGAAGUACCCAUUUUCUUUAUUACACACUAUUACUUGGACUCACCUUUCUAGUCAACAGCACAGUGGAGCAAAUAAAAUGGUGCUAACUUACUCAACAAUUUUAAGCAUUGGAGUGCCUAUUGUCCUUUAUUUAAGUAAUGUCGUGGCAAAAUGACUGAGUUUGGCUUCAAAAACCCUAAAUUCAUCAAAAAGCCCUUGCUAUUAAUCAAAAAGGGAAAAAAACUAAGUAUAAGACAUCUCAUUUUUAAGAAUUAAUUUUCACGCAAUCUAACCUAAGCUAAACUCGCCUCAUCCACUAUCACAUGUUUUAGAUAUACUGAAGAAUAUAAGCUCAUCAUCGAACAUCACAAGUACAGAUUGAAUUUCUCGCAGAUAAAACAGUAUUUAAUAAUCACAUGGCAUUGGAAAACAACUUAACUAUACUAGGAUGAACAUACAUACUAGAUACGUAAUGCAACCUAAAUGCACAAUACAUCACCCCAAACUUAAGGGAUGCAUUAUCCUCAAUGCAUGAAUAGAUAUAUGCAAACUAUCUAUGUACAGACAAUGUCAUGGCAAAAUAUAUGCAAUGCAAUAUGUCUGAAAUAAAACGAAAACUUUCCUUGCUUGGACUACAUUAUAGAUACUUCAUUAUGUCUGACGAGUUGAUUUAUGAGCAGCAACCUUGUACCUUUACUUCCUCUUCAUCCUCACAGUCAGUCUCAAUACUGACAAACUUUAUUUUCUCUGGUUCUUUCUCUGAUGCUUUAGGUGCAUUCUCUUAAUUGGUAGGAUUUGUCGAUGGGUUCUGCGUCACCGACCCUAUCCCCUCUUGCAGUUUAUUAAACAAAGGAAAUAAAAUAACUAAGAGAAAUUUAAAUCGACAAAAUAAAAUAAAAAUAAAAAGAAUUUUCAAGAUGUUGAAGUUAAACAUCUCAAAGAUCAAAGGACUAUUUGUCUCACUCUACAUAAGCACCCCAAUAGUGUUUCAAGCGUUGUCCAUUAACUUUAAAUGUGUCCCCUAUUUUCAUGUACUUGACAUCAACAACUCCAUGUGGGAUAUAUAUGAGCUACCAAGCAUUAUUCAUCAAAAUUGAAAGGUUUAUUUUGCUCCAGCAAAGUGUAUAAGGGUCUCCGCUCAAAUGAAUCUUUAUCACUAUCAAAACUGAUGUGGCAAUAUAUCAUGAACUCUUCCUCCACUACUGUUUCUAUUAAGUCAAUGGCAUGGCAUUCUUUAUUAUCAUCAAAAUAUUUCAGUGCAUUAAAUAAAUUUAAUGUGACCUAUUGAUCAUUCAUCCUCAUGGUCAAUUCACCUUUCUACACAUCAAUUGAAGUCCUGCCUGUAGCAAGAAAAGGCCUUCCAAGAAUAAUUGGCACAUCUUUGUUAGCUUCACAAUCUAAAAUAAGGAAAUCAGCUGGAAAAAUAAACUUAUCUACUCUUACCAACACAUCUUCAAUUUUACCUUCUGGAUGUGCAUAGGAUCGAUCAGCCAGUUGUAAUGUAACUGUAGUAAGUCUAGUUUUUCCAAUUCCCAGCUUCCUGAAAAUAGACAGCAAUAUUAGAUUUAUACAUACUCCUGAAUCACAUAAUGCAUUACCAACAUAAUGAUUUCCAAUUAAACAUAAAACAGAGAAACUCCCUAAGUCCUUCAACUUUGGAGGUAAUUCAUCAACAUUGUUGUGCACCCUUAAGUGAAAGCAAUAGUCUCAAGUUCUCCCAUUCUGUGCUUCUUCGACAGUAUAUCCUACAUAAAUUUCAUAUAGUUUGGCAUUUGCUCCAAAUCUUCUACUAGUGAUAUAUUAAUAUGUAGUUGCUUCAAGACCUCCAAAAACCUUUUGAACUGAACAUCUUGUUUAGAAUUAUGUAAUUUCUGAGGAAAAGAUAGAGGUGGUCGCCCUUCAGGUUUCUGAUAUUGUUUUCCUAUAGCGUUUUUAUUGGCAGCCUGAUCUAGUUCUGCCACAGCAUUCUUCUGCUUACCCUUUUCAAGUGUAAUAUGUUUUUCAGAUGGCUUUGGGAUCUUCACAUGGUUGUUAUUUGAGUUAUCCUCUCCUGCUGUGGCAUCUUGAACAACAUCAUUUAACUGAGUUCCACUUCUAAGAGUGAUCACUUUGCACUGUUCUUUCCCUUAUGUUAUCCAAUUCUAGGUAUCGUUGGCAAUGCUCCUUGUGGCCUCAAAUUUAAAGCAUUUGCUAUUUGCCCCACUUGAUUCUCAAGAGCUCGUAGGGACAUAGCUUGACUAAGGUAUCUUUCUUGGCCAUAAAUUAUUUCAACAAGUCUUCAAUAGAUGGUGAUGAUAAUGACUGGCCUUGUUGUACAUUUUGCCUCAGCAUAGGAUGAUUAUAACUAGGCGAUGCACUAUCGGCAUUCUUCUUGUAGCAUUGUUAAAAUUCCCCUCACCUUGAUUAUUCCAACUAAAGUUUGGAUGUUGUCCCCACCUUGGAUUAUAGGUGUUGGAAUAGGGAUUAUUAUUCCAAUUGAAAUUACCUAUGUAGCACAGGAAUGUUGGGUUUGGUGGGAAUUCAUCCAACACGUGGUCAUCACCACAAUAAACACAUGCUAGCCUAAUAGCUUUCACCUCCUGAACUGUAGUUGGUAUCUCUAUCAUCUUGAUCAUAUUAGUUAAAGAUGAAACAUGGGUAGUCAAUGAAGUGAUUGUAUCAAGUUCCAUGGUACCAGCAGCUUUCUUACCUGUUCAAACUCUCGUGGUAGGAUAUUGAUAAUCAUUGCUGGCAAUCUUUUCCAAAAUCUCAUAUGCUUCAUUAUAAGAUUUAUCCAACAAAAUACCAUUGGUGAAGGCAUCAAUUACCAUCCUCAUAUGCGCAUUCAUUCCAUUAUAAAAUAACUCCAUCUGUGUCUAGUGCUGAAAUCCAUGCAUCGGGCACUUCUGAAUGAAGUCUUUAAAUCGCUCUCAAGCUUCAUAUAGCGUUUCAUCAUCCAAUUGCCGAAAAGAUGUGAUGUCAUUUCUAAGCUUGGCAUUCAUAUUUGGAGGAUUAUAUCGUAGAAAAAAACUCUAGCAAAGAUCAUUCCAUGAUGCUACUAUUCAGUACGGCAGAGCAUUCAGUCAUGCUCUCACACGAUCUCUUAAAGAAUAUGGAAACAGUUUAAGUCGCAAAGUGUCUUUAGGCACACCCUACUGUCUCUAUGAGUCAUAAACCUCUAAAAAAAGUCUUAAAUGAAGUAUUGGAUCUUUAUUAGGUAAUCCACUUAACUGUCCUACUGUUUACAACAUCUAAAAUAUUACCAGUUUCAGCUCAAACUACUGAACUUGUAUUUGUGGUCUGACUAUCUCUGGAUUCAAAUCAUCCAAAAUUAGCACAACAUGCUCUCAAAUUGGUCUAUCUCGGUCAUCUAUCACUCUACGAACAUGAAGAUUAGCAUCCUGACCAUUCAAAUUAUCAUUGAGACUAGGAUCAUUUUCGUUUCUAGCAUCAUAGUUCUUUUCACCUUCUUCGUAAAGUUAUUUCGAUGUCUGGGUUAAAAGGAUACUCUUUGUUAGCAGGAAUAUCUUUUCUCAUGUACUGAUGGAAAACUUAUAGAAAAAUAUAACUAAGUUAAAUAAAACUAAUGGAGCUAAGUGAAAUAACAAAACCAAUUUUUAGGAAAUUGUCAAUCCCUGGCAACGGUGCCAAAAAAUUGUCGCGUGUGAAUAUGAUAUGUGAAUUGUGCAAGUAUACACGUUGGAUCAACUAAUAAAAUGAUAAGUGAGUAUCAUUCCCAUGAGGUUCCGAUUGAUGCACAAAAGUGGUCAAGUUAUUAUAAUAGAGUGUUAUUAAUGCUAUGGCAAAAACAACGAUAAGUAUAAAGGAGUAGUGAUGUAUGUAAUAUGUGGAAUUUAAUGAAUACAUGGAAAUGUUAUGGAAAAACAAAAGUAGAAAUGUAAUGGAAAUUAUGAGAAUUACUACGGGAAUAUUAUGUAAAUGAACAAAUAAAUAACUAAUAAUGAUGUGACAAAGAUACUAUGGCAAAGAACAAAGGAUAUACGAUGUUGAUUUGGAAUGUUGGAAUUACUAAGAAUCUACCCUUACUGUCAGAGAUGCCUCGAAAAAAUCAUAAUUAAUUUACUACUUAGAAGAGUUCUAAAGUGGUCUGCUUCUUUCGAGAGCAAAAGUCUCAAGUUACCUUACCCAUGACAAUAUGCCUUUAAUACGAUACCCUGCACUAUUUCUUUCUGUAUGAAUGUUGCUCUAUAUCUAAAGUCUACUACAAGCAUCUAUUGAAUACUUGCUCAUAUCAUUCAAUUUUGGUCCAACUAAUCCAACUUUUUCAAAAUUAAAUUAGUUUAUGUGCAUGCUACAUAGUCUCUAUGUCUAGGAAUUGCACGCUUAUAAUUUAGAAAAAAAUAAUUAAAUGAAACAGUAAAUUAAUUCAAAUCUAUGCUUCAACCAUUAAAGAAAAUAAAGGUUUCAUCAUGUAAUCUCAACCCUAUGAAAUUUAGCUCAUGGGUUGGCACAUAAAAUUUAAAACCAAAAUAACAUCCAACACCAUUUUCAUCAUUCCAUUCAAGGAAGAACAAAGGAAGAAAAGUAUAAGACUUUGAGAAUACAACUUUUGCAUGUCAUGUUCACACUCCAACAACAUAAUUCAGGCGAUGGCUAAGAGGGACUACUUUUGUCUUCCUCUUUUUGUCUCUACUCAGUCGCUACCCUCUAUUUUUGCCUAAGGAUCUGUUACUUUUUGUUCGUCAUUUAGGGUUUCCUCCUUUGGCUUCUUAUAGCUUUUUUCCUUGGGUAAAUCCAACAAAUCAUGUUUAUCUUCUCCUCUUUUUAAAAUUUUUUUUCUAGAAUAAAAAUAAACAUCCCAGGAUUAUCUUCUCCUCUUUUAGGUACAUUUUUUUGGUAAAACUACAGUUGGGCUGAAAUUGGUAUGCAUUGAGUGUUGACUCGGUCUUCCUAGAAUUGCCACAGCAUUCGUGCUAACCAAAUGUCCAACCUUUUGCCCUGGUAAACCUUUACUCCUUUAUUUCUCAUUCCUCAACCUGCACCUGCCAAAGCACCAAACACAACCCUACCAUAAGCAAUUAAAAGUAUCUAUUAUUGAUUUUUUUUGGUAAGUGGUAAUAGGACUUGUAACUAAUAUAGUUUUGGAAAAAAUAUAAUUUUUUUAGAAUCUUUGAGGCAUAUUUUCGAUUGGUAAAUGAGGAGUUUUGAAUCAUAAAAUUAUGAUUUUAUGUUCUACCCCAUGAGACCUUUACAACGAGAUAUCAUAUGCUCAAAAUGGUUGAGUGAUGAAUGAGAAAUUGAUGCUCAAAGUAAGCUACUUGGAAAUUAUGUUGAGAAAAAUGAAAAAGCAUUAAUCCCACAUUUAUUAGGAAUCAAGUGUGGAACUUGUAUAUAUAUGUAAAUCAACUUGGUGGUUAUUAAAUGAGUAAACUAAUGCUCUCCCUCGUGCGCAGGGGGUGCAAAUCUAAAUCCACUGAGGUUGGGGCACACCCGCACGACAUGGGCGUUUCCAAGAUUUUACUCAAAUUGAUUUAAAGGCUUCUUUAAUGCAUAUUUGUAUCUUUAUUCAUGGAAAUUUCUAAAAUUCUUCCACAUUGAAUGCUUAUAAAAGCCUAAAUUCUUUAAAGACACACAACGAAUUUAUUUCACUCUCGAAAAUUCUAUUCCUUUUCUCUCCAAAAUUUUCAAAUGUCCGGUGAUAGAAGAAUGCAAGGUUUGUUCGUUGAUCACUGCAGACGUACUACUGCCGCAAUCAUUUUGUUAUUGUAUCCUGGGAGACAGAUGACCAACAUUUCUCUAAGUACCAUAGGAGCAGCUGAAUCUGUCUUAAGGAAACUGUGAAAACAGGCCUCAGCAUCUAGUAAAACUCGAUUUCCUUAUUCAAUUUCUGGUUUUUCAAUAUCUUGUUUAUAUAAUUAUUUUUUAGAUUUGAUGUUUUAAAUAAAUAUUAAUAUUUAUUUAAUUUAUUUUGUUUAGAUCUGGUGUUUUUACACAAAUAUAGAUAUUUGGUUAUAUUAUUUGUUCAAGAUAUUAUAUUUAAUAUAAAUAUUUACAUUUAUAUUUGUUCGCUAACGUGUUUUGUCCAACAAUAUUAAGACAGAUUUUUAUUAUUUUAAAAUUCUCUAAUCCGAGUAGAACGAGGCACGAAGGCGAAAAAAACAUAUUCUGUCUAAGGAAAAAAUUAAAUUGAAUAAAAUCUAUUUCGGGAUUUAUGAUUGUCGUUCAAUAGAUUUUAUUCCUUUUUUAUUUUGUUUCCAAACAAGAAUUAAUUGAAUAAUUCUAUUUCAGAAUUUAUUCUCGCAUCUCAACAGAUUUUAUUCUAUUUUGAUUUUGUUUCCAAACAAUAAUUAAAUAAAUAAUUCUAUUUCGAGAUUUAUUCCCGCCAUUUAACAGAUUUUAUUUGAUUUUGAUUUUGUUUCCAAACAAGAUUUAAUUAAAUAAUUUUGUUUCAAGAUUUAAUCCUGUCGGCCAACAAAAUUGAUUUUAAUUUUAUUUCAGAAUUUUAACUCUUCCAUUUAACAAAAUCAAAGGGUAAUAUAAAUUUUAAAUUAAAUUUUUUAUUUAUUGUGGCUUUAAUUGUGGCUUUAAAUUGUGAAAGCUUAAAUUGUAGCUUCAAACUUGUGACAUCAAAGAAAAAAAAAUUUAUCAACGGUGAAUUAAAAAAGACAAUAUGAGAGUGCAUGUCUAGGAUUGGUUCUUUGAAAGACUUGGUAUUUAAGCGUGCCAAGUGCACCACCUCUCUUUCAGGGUUACCUACCUGGCACAUUUUUUUUGUCUUUCGAUUAGACCGUGUAAACUUUUGUUUCAAGUUUUAUUAAAUUCCUAUCGUCUAGCAAAAGUUGAUAAUUUUUUUCUAAUUUUGGUUUUGUUUCUGAAAUCUUAACAGAAAAUGGAAACUCCCACCAAUGCUAUGGAAGAUAUGGACUUAUGUGCUGUGAUUUUUGGAGUCAACAUGGUUGACUCACAUCCAAGAGAAUAGUGGCUUGAUACUAGUGCCACACGUCAUAUUUGUUGUGACAAAGACUUCUUUUCUGAGUUGGAGCCUUGUGAAGAUAGGGAGAAGCUCUAUAUGGGCAAUGCUAUGACUUCCAAGAUCAAGGAGAAUGGUACUAUAGUCUUGAAGAUGACUUCUGGUAGAGAACUCAAGCUUCAAAAUGUGUUGUAUGUGUUUGACAUACGCAAGAACCUUAUUUCUGAGACACUCCUUAGUGUACACGGUUUUAAGACGGUGUUUGAAUCCCAGAAGCUAGUUUUGUCUAAAGGGUGAAUGUUUGUGGGAAGGGGAUAUGUAUUAAAUGACAUAUGGAAACUUAAAGCAAUCUCUGUAAAAUCAAAAACUAUGAAUAAGAGUGUUGUUUCUUCUUCUAUUUAUAUGCUUGAGUCAUUUAAUUUAUGGCAUGGUAGGCUCGGACAUGUUGAUUAUGAUACUUUACAUAGAUUAAUUAAUUUAGAGCACAUUCCUUCAUUUCACAUUAGUUAUAAACAUAAAUGUGAAACUUUUGUUGAGGAAAAAUUAACAAUGCUUUCGUUUGAAACUAUUGAAAGAAAUAUAGAACCACUCGAUCUAAUACAUAGCAAUGUUUGUGACUUAAUGUUUGUUCAAACCAGAGGAAGGAAUAAAUAUUUUAUUACCUUCAUUAAUGAUAGCACAAAAUAUUGUUAUGUAUAUUUGCUUCAGAGCAAAAACGAAGUUAUAGAGAAAUUUAUUCUCUAUAAACAGGAAGUUGAAACCUAACUUAAUAACUAAGAUGGUAAGAAGUGAUUGUGGUGGUAAAUAUGUUGAACCAUUUAGUGAAUACUGUGCACAACAUGGUAUUAUUCAUGAAGUGACACCACCAUACACUUCUCAAUCAAAUGGAAUAACCGAGCGAAAAAAUCAGACUCUAAAGGAAAUGAUGAACGCAUUACUAGGAAGCUCUGGGUUAUCACAGAACAUGUGGGGGGAAGCUAUUCUAUGAGCUAAUUACCUUUUAAAUAAGGUUCCCUACAAGAAAAUGGACAAUACACCAUAUGAGUUAUGGAAAGGUAGAAAACCUUCCUACAACUACUUGAAACUGUGGGGGUGUCUUGCAAAGGUAAUGGCUCCAUUACCAAAGUAAAUGAAAAUAGGUCUUAAAACGGUGGAUGUAUUUUCAUAGGCUAUGUAGAUCAUAGAAAUACAUAUAGGUUUUUUGUGUAUGAAUCAAAGAAUCCUGACAUUCACAAGAAUAUUAUAUUGGAAUCAAUGAAUUCUUUAUUCUUUAAAAAUAUCUUCCCUUAUAAAGCUAGGGAAGUUUAUUCAAGUUCAACAAAAUGAACUUCAGAGACUAUAGAAGAAAAUAGUCAAGACGAGGUUAAAACUAUGAUAGAGCCAAGAGUAAACGAGUAACACUGCAAAAAUCUUUUGGAUCAGAUUUUCUAACCUUUAUGCUAGAUGCUAAACCUCAAACAUGUGAUGAUGCUAUACGGUCAUCUAAAAGCACUUCAUGGAAAGAUGCUAUUAAAAGUGAAAUUGACUCCAUCAUGUAAAAUCAUACAUGAGAAUUAGUGGAUCUUACUCUAGGAAUUAAACCAUUAAAUUCUAAGUGGAUUUUUAAAUGAAAAAUGAAAGCAGAUGAAACAAUUAACAAGUACAAGGUCAGAUUGGUUAUAAAAGGUUAUAGAUAAAAAAGAAGGCCUACUUUGAUACUUUUUCUCCAAUAUCCAGGAUAACUUCUAUAAGGAUGAUACUUGCAAUUGUCGCCUUAUAGAAUCUAGAAGUACAUCAAAUGGAUGUUAAAACAACUUUCCUAAAUGGAGAUCUUGAUGAAGAAAUUUACAUAGAACAACCUGAGGGUCAUGUAAUUCUAAGACAAGAAAGGAAAGUUUGUAAAUUGGUGAAGUCUUUAUAUGGACUUAAGCAAGCACUAAAACAAUGGCAUUAAAACUGUUCGACAAUGCCAUGAUGACAAAUGGCUUUAAGAUUAAUGAAUGUGAAAAUUGUGUGUAUGUCAAAACUACCGAUAUUGGAUAUAUAAUCCUAUGCUUAUAUAUUGAUGACAUAGUCAUUGUUGGGAGUAACAAUGAAAUGGUAAAACGUGCCACAGACAUGUUAAAUUCAACGUUUGACAUGAAAGAUAUGGGACUAGCAAAUGUGAUUUUAGCAUCCAAAUUAAGAGGUCAUAUGAAGGUCUGAUAUUGACUUAGCCACACUAUGUGGACAAGAUUCUUGGGAAAUUUAGCAAGGAUGAUUCCGGUAUAGCCAAAACUCCAAUAGAUACAAGCCAACAUUUGUCCAAAAAUAAAGGUGAAAGUGUUGACCAAGUGGAAUAUGCAGGGGUCAUAGGCAGUCUAAUGUACCUUAUGAGUUGUACUAGACCAGAUAUUGCUUUCACUGUGAGCAGUUUAAGCAUAUUCACAAGCAAUCCAGGGGAAAACCAAUGGAAAGUAAUUGUGAGGAUACUGAGAUAUCUUAGAUAUACUCGGGACUAUGGAUUGCAUUAUUCCAAAAAUCCUAUUGUUUUAGAAGGAUUCUCCUGUGCCAGUUGGAUAUCUGAUAUUCAAGAUACCAAAGGCACAAGUGGAUAUGUUUUUACAUUAGGAGGAGGAGCUAUGUCAUGGAAAUCCCCAAGACAAACGAUUAUAACCAGAUCCAUAAUAGAAUCUGAGUUUGUAGCUCUAGACAAAUCUGGAGAAAAGGCUAAAUGGCUUCGAAACUUCUUGGAAGAUAUUCCUGACUGGCCAAAGCCUGUGCCCACAAUAUGUAUAUAUUGUAACAAUCAAGCAACAAUUGGUAGAGCACAAAAUGUAAUAUAUAAUGGUAAGUCAAGACAUAUGCGUCGUUGACACAAUACUUGUAGACAACUGAUCUCAAAUGGAGUUAUCUCUAUUGAUUUUGUAAAAUCAAAAGAUAACAUUGUGGAUCCGCUAACUAAAUGCUUAAAUCGAGAUCAGGUUAAUAAAACAUCGAAAGGAAUAGGACUAAAGCCCAUGGAAAUUAAAGGCGCUAUGUAAAGGAAAACCCAACCUAGUUGACUGGAGAUCCCAAAAUCUAAGUUCAAAUGGACAACCUAAUUGCAUAGGCCUUGUGAGGUCACUAUAGGGGUUCUUAUUCCAAGUCCGUUCCUAUGAAAUAAACAGUAAUUUAAAGUGAGAUAGGUUAAGUAAAGCUUUUAAUGACCAUUGUGUGUUUCGGAAAGCCAAGCAACAUAAGUCACCUAUGUUAGAGUGAAGUGGGGCCGCUUCGAGGAGACUAUUGUGCAUAGUUCUCUCAAAAUCUUGCAGAACCAGGAAAUGUUCAUGGUCAUAUAAACAUACCUAUGAGAACGAAGACCUUGCUAGGGAGGUAGUUGUGUAAGGUAUAUCAUUGUUUACACAAACGACAGAACAGUUCAAGGAUAUUGCGUCAACUAGUCAGCUAGUAAAAUAAAUAUACUUUCACAAUGUAAGGUUCAAGGGUUGAUGUCUGCCUAUCAUAUGCAACUAUCAAUCGUAGAAUCUAUCACCACAUCCAGCCAAUGUUUUUCAUUAAACCUAUCAAUUUCAUUCAUGUGGGGUAUUGUUGGAAAAAUAUGAUUUUUUGGAAUCUUUGAGGCAUAUUUUCGAUUGGUAAAUGAGGAGUUUUGAAUCAUAAAAUUAUGAUUUUAUGUUCUACCUCAUGAGACCUUUACAACGGGAUAUCAUAUGCUCAAAAUGGUUGAGUGAUGAAUGAGAAAUUGAUGCUCAAAGUAAGCUACUUGGAAAUUAUGUUGAGAAAAAAUGAAAAAGCAUUAGUCCCACAUUGAUUUGGAAUCAAGUGUGGAACUUUUAUAUAUAUGUAAACCAACUUAGUGGUUAUUGAAUGAGUAAACUAAUGCUCUCCCUCGCGCGCAGGGGGUGCAAAUUCAAACCCAUCGGGGUUGGGAAACACCCGCACGACGUGGGUAACGCGAAAUGUCCGGAUCGAUCAGGCCCUUUUAGGCCUGCGAAUAUUUUAGCCCAAUACGUAUUUAUUUAUUUUUUUGAGCAGAUAUUAUACAGAAUCUGUUUUAAAAGAACAAAUAUCUCAUUUUGAUUUGAUUCCAAUCAAAUUUGAUUUUAUUUUAUUCAAAUUGAUUUAAAGGCUCCCUUAAUGCAGAUUUGUAUCUUUAUUCAUGAAAAUUUCUAAAAUUCCUCCACAUUGAAUGUCUAUAAAAGCCUAAAGAAUAUUGCAGAAUUCUUUAGAGACGCACAACGAAUUUAUUUCACUCUCGAAAAUUCUAUUCAUUUUCUCUCCAAAUUUUUCAAAUGUUUGGUGAUAGAAGAAGGAAAGAUUUAUUUAUUGAUCACUGCAGAAGCACUACUCCCAUGAUCAUUUUGUUGUUGUUUCUUGGGAGACAGACGAUCAACGUUUCUCCAAGUACCAUAGGAGCUGUCGAGUCUAUCUUACGGAAACUGUGAAAACAGGCCUCAACAUCUAGUAAAAUUCGAUUCUCUUAUUCGAUUUCUAAUUUUUCAAGAUCUUGUUUAUUUAAUUAUUUUUUAGAUAUGAUGUUUUAAAUAAAUAUAAAUAUUUAUUUAAUUGAUUUUGUUUAGAUCCGGUGUUUUUACAUAAAUAUAAAUAUUUGUUUAUAUUAUUUGUUCAAAAUCUUGUAUUUAAUAUAAAUAUUUAUAUUUAUAUUUGUUCACUAAGGUGUUUUGUCCAAACUAUAGCUUCUCAAUAAUUGUCAAAUAUUAUAGUGAUAUGCUUUUUCUUUCAAUAAUUCAUAUCUUCAAGAUUAAAAGGUUUACUUUAGUAUUAUUCUAUUUAUUGAGUGUGUAUUAAUGUUUUGUACAGGAAUCCGUUGGAUUUUGGUCUUGUAUAAAUUAGCUGUGGUUGUGGGUAAAUAAAUGUGUGCCGUUCUUCAUUCUCCGAACAUGCUGAAUAUAAUUAUUGGCAUUUCAAGUGUGGCAUAAUAUAAAACAAUGGUUGGCUUCAUCAUAAUCUGUUUGGAGACUAACGGACCACACUUUGACCUCCAAAUUUAGAAAAUAUUUCCAGAGUUGGAAAUUGUAAUUGUAAUACCCUAAUAUUUGUACACCGCAGUGAACAUGGACAAUCAUGUCAUGAUGCAGAACCAGAAAAUGGUGCCAACUCUCCUUCUUCUCCCCCUCUUUCUUCCAAAACUAUAUCCUCGAAAAUGGUGACAUCAAACUUCCUUUCGUUUAUCAAAGGUUCACCCCUCACAUUACAGGGUCCUGUUCGUAUCUCAAGGCAAUCAAACAUGGAAUCCAUAUAUAUGAUUCUUCCCCAAUCCUUGUUGUAGAUUCUUUGGGGAUACAAGCCUUUUUGUUUGUAUUUAAAUACAAAAAAGGGAGAAAGAAAAGUGCCAUCUACAACUGCAUGCUAAUGAUUGCCAAAAUCACUGUUUGUUUUGUUGGAAGGCUUUCAAUCUUGCGGGGUCUUGAAGAGCCUGUUUCAGUAACUUGCCAUUAAUUCUCUCUUACAUUCCAAUCCUAAAAAAUGCUUCCAUCUUUUAGCUGCAACAGUUUAUAAUCAUCAGAAAGGUCUAGUCAGAAUAAUAUUACCUUCUCCUUUUAAACAGUUUUUUUUUUUUAAAUCAUGCCACUACAACUGUAGCUGCGCUCAUGUUAACAAUUAAUUCCUAUAAUCGACAUCAAAAUUAUAUGAAAGAAUUAACACUUGGUUACCGAGUUACCAUAUUUGAAGAUAACGCGAAAGGUAAAAACACAAAAGGCAAGCAUGACCAAGCAAACAAGGUAUGGACAUUGAUUUUUUUGAAUCGGGAAUGACCAAAUGGGACCGUGAAGAGGUGACAAAGGAGAAAUCAGGCAUUCACGGUUUCCAUUGGAUGAAAUGAGAUAAGAUCACUGUGCUUCUUCCACGUGGCAGGUUGCCAAAGAUAAGGCUUUACCAUUCAAGAAAAGUUUCCACCCUCUUUGUGGUCAUUAUGGUUGUAAUGUCAUCUGAUUUAGGAUCCAACGGUCACCCUGUCUCCCAAACCAAUCUCUAAAUGUGGUGAGCUUAGACCAAAUUUUAUGACUAUAUAUAGGGGAUUGCACCAAGGCAGUGACACUAUUAAGGGAUCAGUGAGACUCUUUUGUAUACCUGUAGCAUAUAGUAAUAGUAAGCAGUAAUAGCAAUGGCCUCCUCCAUGAUCUCAUCGGCAACCAUUGCCACCGUGAACCGCUCCUCCCCGGCACAGGCCAACAUGGUGGCCCCCUUCACCGGCCUCAAAUCUGCCUCUGCUUUCCCAGUCACCAGGAAGGCCAACAACGACAUCACUUCUCUUGCAAGCAACGGUGGGAGAGUGCAAUGCAUGCAGGUACUUGGUGAUGCAUAAAUACCACUUAAAUUACCCCAAGUGUUUGAACACAACAAAUUACAUAAAUUGAAUCAAAUAUAUAUCUUGGCUUUUGAGUACAGGUGUGGCCGCCUCUUGGGAAGAAGAAGUUCGAGACUCUCUCAUACCUGCCCGAUCUUACUCCCGUACAGUUGGCUAAGGAAGUAGAUUACCUUCUUCGCUCUAAAUGGAUUCCUUGCUUGGAAUUCGAAUUAGAGGUGUUUUGGAGCUCUAAAUUAUUCCAUUCCUCCUCUUAAUUUUUUUAGUGGGAUAUUUGAGUUGAUUAAGUGUGUUUUAUAUGUAUGUGCAGGAGGGAUUCGUGCACCGUAAGUACUCGAGCUUACCCACGUACUACGAUGGACGCUACUGGACCAUGUGGAAACUGCCCAUGUUCGGGUGCACCGACUCGGCUCAGGUGUUGAAGGAGCUUGAGGAAUGCAAGAAGGAAUACCCCAAUGCAUUCAUUAGAAUCAUUGGGUUCGACAACGUUCGUCAAGUGCAGUGCAUUAGUUUCAUUGCCUACAAGCCUGAAGGCUACUAAGUUGUUUACUUCCCUCCUAGGAAUUCCAUUUGUUUCAAAGUUGUACUUAAAUUAAGCCCCUCAAGCCCCCCCCCCCUUUUUCUUUUUCUUUUUUAGUUGAGUUAUUUGGCUUGGGGUCUCUCUUUGUUUUGUUUUUGGAUUUCCAAUGGAACGGCUGAGAACUAAUGAAUAAAAAGGUAGUUUCUUGCCAUAUUUCAUGAAUCCAGUUCUUCCUCCAUUUUCAGUGCUAAGAUAUUCAUGUUAAGAUAGGAUAAAAAUUAAAAGAAAAAAAGGUGAUUGGGUGGUCUGGCUUUAAAAUAAGAGGAUAAAGAUUUUGUGGACAAGCAACGCUGUGCUGUUGGAGGCUCAUUAUCUUAGUACAUAGGAAUACACCAAAGAAACCAUUUUUAUUAAAUUGUUUUAUUAUGACAUCACAAGUUUCUAUUAUUAAAAUAACAACUUAAAAAGGCUAAAUUCAAAUA